GCCAGCUGCGCUCAGCUUCCUGUUGGUACUCGGCAAAGGAAACAUCGCGGGAAAGGUAGACUCUAGUCACUGCCAAUUCCUGUCAUAGGACCUCAACGAUGGCCUCUCCCAAUUCUUACACUCAAGUUACUCCUAGACCUAGUGCACCUUUCUCCAGAAGAUCCCAGAGCAACAUUUAGUGCCUUUCGCCCUCGUGUGCAUCAUGGGAGGAAGAUUUCAGAGCUAAUUCCCAGCCCUGGGUCCAUGACUAACUAACUCACCCUGGGAUGGUGACAAAAGUCAGCUCUCUUCUCCUGACAUUCGUCUCCUCCUCCAAAUAGUGAUAGUGAUCACCUGGAGGAUACCUAAGCUGCUAGUGUGGACAUUCUGGGCUUCUGUGAUGGUAAACAGGAAGAGACAGCAGAGGACGUGCGGAGAAGGGAGCCGGCGCUGUGUACUGAGGUGUGCCCAAGGGAUAGAAAGGACUACCUGGAAAGCAUGUACAUUCCCUGCAGAAGUAACCGGUCUCUAGCCACUGAGGACACCUUUCCUCGACUGCAGCAACUGCUGGAAACACUGCUUCUUGACCUCUGGCUUAAUUAGCAUAUCUAGUCAGUGAAGCCCAUCUGACAGGCUCCAUCUGGGCUCAUUUGCCUCCCAUAACAAAUGUUACCAGUGGCAACGGACGUCUCCUAUGUCAGCACCAACUUUAGAGGCCCACCUUGGGGCUGCCAGCUUCCGAGACGUGCUGGGGCUUUUCAUUCUCUAAUCAAAGGGGUCCGAGUAAAUAGGUGUUGGCAGCUGACAGCUGAGGCUGUGUGUGGUGUCGACUCCUCGCCACACACGGUUUCUAAUAAAGAGUGCUGGGAAAAAGAUUUAAGCCUCAGAUUUCUGUCACAGUGGCUGUGAAAUGUCAAUACAUGGAAAGAGGAAAAAACCACUCAAAUUAGAGAAAACAUCAUGGACACGGUAAAGAAAUGCUUUCACGUGGAAAGGAAGAGGGGGAUUUUCAGAACUUAUUGGAGAAGUAACCCCCCUUAACAGUACUGCAACAGAACACUUUGCUUUGAGUCAACUUUGAAUAGGUACAUAAAUAAACCAUAGACCAGGGGCCCUGAUACAAGAAAC
rnacentral:lncRNA from 1 species